rnacentral:tRNA from 1 species
GGAGAGAUGGCUCAGUGGUUAAGAGCACUGACUGCUCUUCCAGAGGUCCUGAGUUCAAUUCCCAGCUACUACA